UACAGAGGUCUCAAGCGUUGUUCGGAUUCAUUGGGCGUAAAGGGUGCGUAGGUGGCGCUGUAAGUCGGGUGUGAAAUUUCGGAGCUUAACUCCGAAACUGCAUUCGAUACUGCGGUGCUUGAGGACUGGAGAGGAGACUGGAAUUCAUGGUGUAGCAGUGAAAUGCGUAGAGAUCAUGAGGAAGACCAGUGGCGAAGGCGGGGUCUCUGGACAGUUCCUGACACUGAGGCACGAAGGCCCAGGGGAGCAAACGGG
rnacentral:rRNA from 1 species